rnacentral:rRNA from 1 species
CCUUGUACACACCGCCCGUCACACCACGAAAAGCCGUGUGUACCAGAAGUCGCUGGGCCAACCCGCAAGGGAGGUAGGCGCCGAAGGUAUGCGUGGUAAUUGGGGUG